rnacentral:snoRNA from 1 species
CGCAGUCAUGUUUAUUCAAGAAUUUUCCAAUCUCAGACUUACAGACAGGUGCAAAAAAUAAAUCCUCUUUUGCAACCCAGAACUCAUUGUACAAUAUGAGUUUUGAUAGAUAAAAAAAAGAAUAUA